rnacentral:rRNA from 1 species
CGUCUAGGUGGUUAUGUAAGUCUGAUGUGAAAAUGCAGGGCUCAACUCUGUAUUGCGUUGGAAACUGUGUAACUAGAGUACUGGAGAGGUAAGCGGAACUACAAGUGUAGAGGUGAAAUUCGUAGAUAUUUGUAGGAAUGCCGAUGGGGAAGCCAGCUUACUGGACAGAUACUGACGCUAAAGCGCGAAAGCGUGGGUAGCAAACA